GACGAACGCUGGCGGCGUGCUUAACACAUGCAAGUCGAACGCUGAAGCUCAGCUUUUGUUGGGUGGAUGAGUGGCGAACGGGUGAGUAACACGUGAGUAACCUGCCCCCUUCUUUGGGAUAACGCCCGGAAACGGGUGCUAAUACUGGAUAUUCACUUGCCUUCGCAUGGGGGUUGGUGGAAAGGUUUUUCUGGUGGGGGAUGGGCUCGCGGCCUAUCAGCUUGUUGGUGGGGUGAUGGCCUACCAAGGCUUUGACGGGUAGCCGGCCUGAGAGGGUGACCGGUCACAUUGGGACUGAGAUACGGCCCAGACUCCUACGGGAGGCAGCAGUGGGGAAUAUUGCACAAUGGGCGAAAGCCUGAUGCAGCGACGCCGCGUGAGGGAUGGAGGCCUUCGGGUUGUAAACCUCUUUCGCUCAUGGUCAAGCCGCAGCUUUGGGUUGUGGUGAGGGUAGUGGGUAAAGAAGCGCCGGCUAACUACGUG
rnacentral:rRNA from 1 species